GGAUGUGAGGGUGACCUGGCUGUGACAUCUGUCACCCGACUGAUUUGGCUAACCUGGCUGGCCAGGCGGGUGUCCCCUUCCUCCCUCACUACUGCUUGAGCAUCUCUCUCCCAAAGCUGUGCACUUGGUGGACGAGGAUGACCUUUCCGGAAUAGGUCAUGUGAAUUUGCCCAUGGGGGGAAGAA
rnacentral:snRNA from 1 species